GACUUCCUUUUACUAACGACACUCUCCUUCCUUUGUGUAACCCUAAAGAUGCCGACACACUCCUUUCUUUGUCUAACCCUAAAGAAGACGACACUCAUCUACCACUCUUUCUCUUACAAACGCAUAUACUCUUUCUCAUAAUUGAUAACCUCCUACAAACUGAAGAAGAGAUAUGACGUCCUUAGAUGAUCCGUUUAACAUCCAAACGCAGCAUCCACGCGUACAACCUUCAACAAUAGAAACCAUUAGCGACCACCACGACCACCGAAUCCUUCUGAUCUACAACCCCUAUCCCUCAUCUAGAUCUACAUGACGAUUGGAGAAACCCAACAGGGUUAUGUUGAGGAUGUGUUGGUUCUUAUUGGUUGCUGCUUCUCUUGUUGCUGAAACGCGUCUGCUUCUUAAUUUACAGAAAUUUGAAGGAGAUAUCAGCAGGAAGUUCUUGUUUAUUCAUAAUUGCAUCCGUAUUCGAAAGUGGUUAAGGUUCAGUUGGUUUAAUUUCAUAGAUCGACGAACCCUAGAAAUACUAACAUUCACACCUGCGAUGCAAUAAAUUCUUAAUAGAACAUUGUACAGUUUAAGGAUUUAAUGUACGAAGCAUUAACAAUUGAAGAAAGUUGGGACAGAGAUGAAGAUAUGAAAUAAAUUAUCCACUGAUUACUCAAUCCUCAGUGCCUUCACUCUCGUUGUUUCUCCAUCUUCAGUUCCAUUACUGGUGAUUAACAUAAAAAGGAAAGUCUUAAGAGAAACCAUAAGAAAAUGUUUUUUUUAACUCAAAAUCGGUUCUUCCUCACACAUAGGUCUUAUUUACUGCUGAUGGCUCCUUAAACGGUUUUGAGAUAACUUAUAUAUGUGUAGUUAUUUUUAUUGAACAUGAUUUUGGUAUAUAUGUUGACAUAUUGACAUUUUUUUAACAAUUUUUGGUGUUCGUAUGAUGUAUCAAGACUGCAUGGGUUGCCGACAAAUCUUGAUUGUCCGAUAUUUCAUUUCUUAGAUGAAAAAAGCUACAUGGAGAGGGAGAAAUAUUAGCUUUGUAAGGGUUCUAUUGGUUAAUGAGCUCAAGAAACUAUCUGCAACAAACCUAUGUUUCCAAGCUCAUUCUUCAUCCGGCCAAGCCACAACAGCUCCUGUUGAAAUAUGUACAUCAUUUCCAAACGGAUUUUGCUGGAUCACACCUACAUCAUCUUCAGCCUGACGUGGCGCAUCAGAUUCUUGUAUUGGUUAGUUCAUAUCUACAGGUGACUCCAACCAAUUUCUGCAAAAGGAAUAUAAGUUGGAUUGCUAGUUUCUUCAGGAUCUGUAACACACAAAACACACACACAAGAUUAUAUUAGGAAUAUAAAGUUGGAUUGCUAUUUUCUUCAAGAUCUAUAAACACAAAACACACACACACAACAUUAUAUUAGAUAUAGUUUCUUUAUUUACAUUAUAUUAGAUAAAGUUUUUUAAAAUAUAAGUUGGAUUGCUAGCUGAUAAAGUAUACAAUGUUUUUUUAUGUAGGAACAGAAGAUGAUAUGAUGAUUGUCGUUGGUUGAUUAGGUGGUGUAGUACUGGCUGACUCACCAAGUAUUGUUGGCUGUUGUAUUGCUAGCUGUUUCGUGCCCUGUAGAAAAAAAAACAAUUAAAGAGACUGAAUUUAUGUGUUUAAUUUGCAAUUUUUUCUGUUGUAUUAAAGAGGGAGAUACAGAGUGAGUUUGUGUAUGUAUGUAAGCACACACACACACACACAUAAACACAAACCUUUAAUCACGUUUCACAUUUUUUUCCAGGACUAUAGAUAUUUGAUAAAUUAUGGUUUUA